ncrna:unclassified sequences nadA RNA
GGUUUCAACAACCCCGUAGGUCGGGCGCCGCGACAAGCGGCGCAGUGGACCUACUGGAGCC